UUUUGGAAAAACUUCAAAAACCCCUUAUGUGGUUUCGUACUUUUUCAUUUUAGCACCCUAUAGUUUAAAGUGUAUCAAGCUAGUACCCUGUGGUUUCGCACUUUCUCACUUUAGUACCCUAUAAUUUAAAGUGUAUCAAGUUAGUACUCUAUGAUUUUAUUUUUGUAUCAAGUUAGUACUCUGUGAUUUUAUUUUUGUAUCAAGUUAGUACCCUAUGAUUUUAUUUUUCUCUUAAUGAAAUAUUAAACCACAGGGUACUAUAGUGAGAAAGUACGAAACCAUAGGAUACUAACUUAAUACACUUUAAACCACAGGGUACUAAAGUGAGAAAGCGCGAAACCACGGGGCACUAACUUGAUACACUUUAAACCACAGGGUACUAAAAUGAGAAAAAGUGAAACCA
rnacentral:lncRNA from 1 species